rnacentral:rRNA from 1 species
AGGUAGCAUAAUCAUUAGUUUUUUAAUUGAGAUCUUGAAUGAAUGGUUGGACAAAAGAAAUACUGUCUUUAAUAUUAUUAUUGAAUUUAACUUUUAAGUAAAAAGGCUUAAAUUAUUUAAAAAGACGAUAAGACCCUAUAAAGCUUUAUAAGUAAUUCUUAUUAGAUUAAAUUAAUUAAUAAAAUUUUGGUAAGCUUUAUUAUUUUGUUGGGGAGAUAAAAUUAUAAAUAUAAAUAACUGAAAGUAAAUUAUACAAUUAUUUUUGUUUGGUGAAAAUUAAAGAUCCUUGUUAAAGAUUAAAAGGUUAAGUUACUUUAGGGAUAACAGCGUUAUUUUUCUUGAGAGUUCAUAUCGAAAGAAAAGAUUGCGACCUCGAUGUUGAAUUAAAUUGUCUUGGUAA